rnacentral:pre_miRNA from 1 species
UCUUCAUUUCACGUGUUCUCUCACCGGUCAGAGUGACGAGAGAGUGUGUGAAAUGAAGAGA